rnacentral:rRNA from 1 species
AAUGAACGCUGGCGGCGUGCUUAACACAUGCAAGUCGAACGAGAACGGCUUAUAGCUUGCUAUAAUUGUCAGCUAAGUGGCGCACGGGUGAGUAAUGUAUAGGUAAUAUGCCUCUUACUAAGGGAUAACAAAUGGAAACGUUUGCUAAUACCUUAUACUCCUUAUUAACAGAAGUUAAUAAGGGAAAGAUUUAUUGGUAAGAGAUUAGCCUGUAUGGUAUCAGUUAGUUGGUGGGGUAAUGGCUUGCCAAGACUAUGACACUUAACUGGUUUGGGAGGAUGAUCAGUCACACUGGAACUUGGACACGGUACAUACUACAACGGGAGGCGGCACUGGGGAAUAUUGCACAAUGGACGAAAGUCUGAAGCAGCAACGACGCGUGGAGGAUGACACAUUUCGGUGCGUAAACUCCUUUUAUAUGAGAAGAUAAUGACGGUAUUAUAUGAAUAAGCACCGGCUAACUCCGUGCCAGCCGCCGCAGUAAGAC